UCCCAGUUCGGAUUGUAGUCUGCAACCCGACUACAUGAAGCUGGAAUCGCUAGUAAUCGCGAAUCAGAAUGUCGCGGUGAAUACGUUCCCGGGUCUUGUACACACCGCCCGUCACACCAUGGGAGUUGGAAAUGCCCGAAGUCAGUGACCCAACCGAAAGGAGGGAGCUGCCGAAGGCAGGUCCGGUAACUGGGGUGAAGUCGUAACAAGGUAAC
rnacentral:rRNA from 1 species